rnacentral:rRNA from 1 species
UGAGUAACACGUAUCCAACCUGCCGUCUACUCUUGGCCAGCCUUCUGAAAAGAAGAUUAAUCCAGGAUGGCAUCAUGAGUUCACAUGUCCGCAUGAUUAAAGGUAUUUUCCGGUAGACGAUGGGGAUGCGUUCCAUUAGAUAGUAGGCGGGGUAACGGCCCACCUAGUCAACGAUGGAUAGGGGUUCUGAGAGGAAGGUCCCCCACAUUGGAACUGAGACACGGUCCAA